rnacentral:rRNA from 1 species
AUUACUGGGGCGUAAGCGCACGCAGGCGGUCUGUCAAGUCGGAUGUGAAAUCCCCGGGCUCAACCUGGGAACUGCAUUCGAAACUGGCAGGCUAGAGUCUUGUAGAGGGGGGUAGAAUUCCAGGUGUAGCGGUGAAAUGCGUAGAGAUCUGGAGGAAUACCGGUGGCGAAGGCGGCCCCCUGGACAAAGACUGACGCUCAGGUGCGAAAGCGUGGGGAGCAAACAGGAUUAGAUACCCUGGUAGUCCACGCCGUAAACGAUGUCGACUUGGAGGUUGUGCCCUUGAGGCGUGGCUUCCGGAGCUAACGCGUUAAGUCGACCGCCUGGGGAGUACGGCCGCAAGGUUAAAACUCAAAUGAAUUGACGGGGGCCCGCACAAGCGGUGGAGCAUGUGGUUUAAUUCGAUGCAACGCGAAGAACCUUACCUACUCUUGACAUCCACAGAAGUGGCCAGAGAUGAUUUGGUGCCUUCCGCAACUCCGAGACAGGUGCUGCAUGGCUGUC